rnacentral:rRNA from 1 species
AGAUUGAACGCUGGCGGCAUGCCUAACACAUGCAAGUCGAACGGGAGUAGCAAUACUCUAGUGGCGGACGGGUGAGGAAUACGUAGGAAUUUGCCCUUAAGUGGGGGAUAACCCGGGGAAACCCGGAUUAAUACCGCAUGACCUCGAAAGAGCAAAGUGGGGGAUCGCAAGACCUCACGCUUUUGGAGAAGCCUACGUCGGAUUAGCUAGUUGGUGAGGUAAUGGCUCACCAAGGCGACGAUCCGUAACUGGUCCUGAGAGGAUGAUCAGUCACACCGGAACUGAGACACGGUCCGGACUCCGUACGGGAGGCAGCAGGUGGGGAAUAGUUGGACAACGUGGGCCGACAAGGCCUGACGUCCAGCUAAAUGCCGCGUGUGUGAAGGAAGG